CACCGAAUCAUAUUGACUGCAUUAACUUGAUCGUUGGUUGUUAAGAUGGAUAUUUGUCUUAACAACCAACGAUCAAGUUAAUGCAGCCAAUCUGAUCUUCUUAUUAAGGUG